UACACUUUCAAAAUUACACAAUAAAACAAGGUUCACAAUAUUGCAGCUGGGCUCCUACUUUACUUCACUUCACUUCACUUCACUUAAUUCUUAUAUAUCACUGACUGACUGGUGACACCCAACCCCUUAUAUACCCAUGAGGGCAUGGCUGACAACAUUCUAGGAGGUUUGAGGAAAAUAUAGUUCUCAGAAAAUUUGGAAGGUUCCACGAGAUUCUACAAAGGUCCAGAACACUCUAGAAGGUUAGUGAAAAAUGAAUCCACAUAUGGAAUACCUGAAACAUUUUACUUCAAACAUUCUAUUUUCCCUUUUGUCGCUAACAACAAAAACAGCACCCAGUGAUGGGGUGACUAAAUCCCACAAGGUAAUGCAGGCCAGAUGGGUCAAUUAACCCAUUAGGUAGCUGAUUAAGUAGGCUCAGCUGGACAGGAAUAGAUGGAGCCUAUAAAGCCCAGGAGCUGAAGCAGAAGGAGACUCUGGGAAAAGGCAGACAUUCCCAGGAGAAAGAGAACAGUGAGUGGAGACUGCAAAUGAUAGUCAAUCCCUGGGAGGAGGCUUUUGGGAACUGGUAGGCCUAGGAAGAAAAGGGGAACCAGUAGUAGGAAGCAGCCCAGGGAUAGAGCACUGAGGCCAGAGAGAGAAGGCCCAGACUUCUGAGAUGAGGGUCUCUGGUCUGGAACCCAGAGAAGAGGGCAGGCCCAGGUUUCCCUACCAGUCACUGGGCAAGUGGCACAGCCAGUGAGCAGGAAGACUGCCUAGGACUUCUUAGGAGCUAAACCUCCCCCCAGAAUGGGGGAACAUGGACAGCGACACAGCUGGAGGGCCGAGCCAUGAAGAAGACACUGCGGUUCCUGAGGCUGCAAGAGAGGGGCUGCAAAUGGACAGCAGAGACAGAGUGACAAGAUGCAAACCACAGAGAUGGGGGAUGUUGGCCUCAAGCUAAUCCCCAGAGUACCAGGAAGAGGUGCCAGACUGGUGGUGCCCGUACCUCUGAAGAGAGAUGGCCUCACACCAACCUUCCUCCCAUGGAGGACAAGAGAUCCAGAUUGAUGGCCUGUGCAAGUGUUCUGGGCAGCAGAUGAAAUACGCUAGAAAAAGUCUUUGGAAAAGCUCAGCUGCAGGUGCCAUCGACUGCAGUAGCCUGCCACGAGCUUCAUAUCAUCAUUCAGGACCGUGUCAAUUUCUGAGAAGGACUGAGCUUGGAAGCUACAGCAGAUAUUGUCAGCACAGAUAAACUUGUGCGAGAGUGUUGCUGGCAAGUCAUUGAUGUACACAUUGAACAGUAUUGGUGAAAGAACUGAACCUUGAGGAGGACCGUUAAUCUGACACUUCCAGGAACUGCAAUGGUCACCCAUGUGUGUUCUGAACUGCCUAUUUUGGAAGAAGAGCUCUAUUAUUUCGAUCACCCAACGUGGGGCAAUUUGAGAGAGUUUACACAGAAGGCCUCUGUGCCAAACCAUGUCAUAAGCGGCAGUCAAAUCCAGGAAAAUGGCACCUUGUCUUUAGAUUUUGUUGAAAACCAUUUUCAAUAAAGGUGGUCAAGGCAAAGAUUUUAUCUCACGUGCUACGUCCUUUCGUGAAGCCUGCCUGCUCAACCUGCAAGACAUCGUUCAACUCCAGAGCAAUUUGUUGGAAGAGCAAUCGGGCAAACACCUUAAAACACACUGACAGCGAGGAUAUUGGGUGGUAAUUCACCACAUUAAGGGGGUCCUUGACCAGCUUGAGAAUGGCAA